UUUGGUAUCUCUGUCUUGUUUCUCACCAUGUCCGGUCAGGUUUCCCUCCUGUGUGAUUACUGCUCCCUCCCCUAAUAUGUUUCAGCUGUUACUCGUUGCGUGCCCUGUGUCUGUUUGGUAUUUAAGCCCUCGUCUUUCCUUUGUUCCUUGUCGGAUCAUUGUAGUUCGUGGAGUGGAACAUGAGGGUUGAUCUCGACAGGCAGCUCCGGUUCCCCACAGAGAUCACCACCACAUCUCUCCGACCAGACAUAGUUGUGUGGUCAACCAAGGGAAGAUCUGUGCACCUUAUCGAGCUCACAGUACCACAGGAGGGAGGGAUUGAGGCCGCCUUUGAAUGAAAGAAGGCCAAGUACUCAGAGCUGGCUGCUGAGUGCCGGGAGGCUGCACUGUAAAAAUGAAAACUUAAAAUUGUUGGUCUCAUUAUGAUUUCUGAGUAAAAUGAAUAUAAAACAUUAAGUAUUCAUGUCAACUGUGCAAUGCAAUUUAGUCCAAUCAACAAUGUUAAGUUUUGGGUCAAGAGUUGGGCUCACUGUAGUCUCUUUGUUAGCAAGACACACGGGUUUAAGUCAGACUCUGUCUGAGGCUGGGCCAACUACGGUGCACAUGCGCAUUUCGACACUACCCCCCGGGGAGUCUGGGUAUUCGUGAUGCCGGUUGGGAAAAAGGGGUUUAUUGCCUUUUGUCAAUUUGUUUCUGUUAGGUUAAGUUGGGUUAACGGGUUUGCGGUCUUUAUUGUUUGUGUGUUGUUUAUUGUGCGUAGUGUUGCCGCCACCGUUACCGAGACUUGCAUGUCCGUUGGUUGGCUGUGCGGUGCGCUGUGUGUUGCGGGUGUGUGUUAAAUAAAGGCAGCUCUCGGGAUCGUGCGGUGUAUGAGGCACGAGAGUUGCGUCACCGUUUAACCUGGGCUCCCGUCUCGUGCAGAACAAGUUUGACCAUAAUGUCAAACUUGUUCUGCACUUUGGUUUGCUGCAUUUAGACAGCGAUUAUCUGCUGGUGAACUAGGUACGUGUUGCUUGUUCUAUUGCUGUCUGGCAUUCAGAAAUGUAAAAUGGAAG
ensembl:lncRNA